GCGGGAGUGGUGGAAUUGGUAGACACGCCAGAUUUAGGUUCUGGUGCCGUAAGGUGUGGGGGUUCGAGUCCCCCCUUCCGCACCA
rnacentral:tRNA from 1 species